AACCCGUUCAGGGGUAAACCUGAGAAACCCAAAAGAUCGAAUGGGGAGAUUCAUCGUCAGCUCAUUUUGUAUAUAUACAAGUUAUGAUAUGGGUUACUACUUGUAGUAUUGCUUAUACAUUCUUGUAUAUUUAAUUGCAAGAUGUUGUCGGCGUGCACUUCUCCCCUAGUUAGGACGUCGCGACCCGUUGAGUGUCGGUUUACGGCCCGAGUGGUAGCCUUUAAUUCUUGUAAUUAAAGACCCUUGGUGUUUCCUGACUGACUACUCGGCGGUAUUCGUAUGGUAUUAAGCCGCAUUUUUAUGCGUUUAUAUCCGUCGCAAGCGCGGUUAAUUUUUGGUAGUACGGACCUAGUGCCGUCGCUAUAAUUAAUCAGCUGUUGGUUGUACGGUAUUCUAAAACUGGCUUUAUUUAUAAUACCGGUCAGCGAUGCUACUGCUUUGGGUACUUUCAGGA
rnacentral:rRNA from 1 species